rnacentral:lncRNA from 1 species
UCAGAAUUCACAUUUUCCUAUUUUCUCAAAUUUUAGGUUUUUACUCCUAUUUUUUCCUUUCUAUUACUAUGUGCUAUUUAUUUAAAAAUAAAAGAUAAAAGUCAUUUAAUUGUGUCUCUUUCUUUUCCAUUACAACGGUUCCCUAUCAAUCGCUUCUUCCUCUUUUUUCUAUCACUUCCAGCGCUUAAUAUCCCUCUUCUCUUCUAUAUCUCCCUCGUCCAAAGGUAUCUCCUCUUUUUGUUUUUUACAAUUUAAGAUUUGCUUAUAUCUCUCUGUUUUUAGAAAACCUAAGGUUUCCUUUCGUGUUUUAAUUCUCGAUAUUGUUAGGCUUUCUUUCAUGGUUUGUUGCUCUUUCGUGUAUCUAUACAUUCCACAUAGCCGAUUUCUGCCUGCUUUACUGAUAAGAAUGGACCUUGGCCUAACUCAACCCCAAAAGCUAGCUUAUGAAGUGAGAAUUUUCUAAACCAUAUAAGGAGACCAAGAACCUCAAAUCCCUCCGAUGCGGAACAACUCAACAUUUACAUUAAUUACCAAUUAAGUUGCCUAUUUUAAUUACCCACUUUGUCAAAUUCAAUUAAUCUUGAAGGGAAGGGGAUACACAUAAGUUGCUUUCUUAAACUUGGAGAAUUUUAGUUUUAGUUUCAGUUUCACUUGGAAUUUUCUGAAAAUAAGUCGUAACAUUUCGAAAGGAUAAAAGUUUCACGCCCUUCCACUCCUCCAUUUGUCCUAUCUGAUUUCGGAAUGUUCAGUAUUUUUUCAUGAAUUACAUUCUUACUAGAAAGAAGAAGUUGUAAAAUUCUAGCCAGGAUAUGGAAUACAAAUCUCAAAAAACUCUGAUAUUUGUUUACGAAUUUCCUUUGAAAACUUAUUGACCUCUGUAAUCAAUCUACUGCUAUCUUAUGUGCGAAAAUUCCAUGGCCCAAAGUAAAAAAACAUCCCAUUCUUUUUGAAAAAUUGCUUUUUCCUGAUUAGUUUUUCUCACUUUUGCUGCAGUUUUAUGAUCUACAAUGCCGGUUGUUCAAGACAAGAGGGGUUGCUCUGAUGGUAAGCAACCCCCACUUCCAACCGAGAUGUUGUGAAUUCGAGUCUCCCCAAAAGCAUUGUGGGAAGUUCUUGGAGGGAAGGAUGCCGGGGGUUUCUAUUUGGAAACGCCUCUCUACCCAAUGUUAGGGGUAAAGUCUGCGGACAUACUACCCUCUCAAACCCCACUAAGUGGGAUUAUAUUGAGUUGUUGUUGUUGUAAUGCCGGUUGUUCAAGCGCCAUGCGCGAUAUGGUGCGCCACUUCUACAUACUCUUUGAAUUCUUUUAUUAAUCAAUUAGUUACGUCUCAAUCUGGGCACAGUUGAGGUCAAUUAUACAAUUCUUUUGUAGAGCAGGUUAUACUAUAGGAAUUACUAAAGUUUACUGAAUUUAAGACUUGAAAAAUUCUCAUGCCCCAAAGUCUAAAAAUUACCAUUCUUAUGAAAAAUUGUUUUUCCUGACAAGUCUUUGUCACUUUUGCUGCAGUUUUAUAAUCGACAAUACCGGUUGUUCAAAUGCCAUGCCCAAUAUUGUAUGCCACAUCUAUCGUAGUCUUUGAAAUUUUUAUUAGGUGAAUUAGUUAUGUCUCAAUCUCGGCAUAGUUGAGGUCAAUUAUAGAAUUCUUUUGUAGAACAAGUUAUAUUAUAGGGAUUACUUAGCGCAUUGGAUUUAAGACUCGGAAUAUGUGUAAAAUUAUUUUGAUUAGUCCUAAACACUUUGGUUUUUUGAUCAAUCUUUUUUCACAGUCUUUUUCCAUCAAUUAUUGCCGUUCCAAUUCUUUUAAAUCUGCAGUUUUCACGUUACUAGCCUAGAUGGAACAAGUUAGAGGACGAACGUGUGAUUAGUUACAUUGAACAGGUAUUUUUAUAGCUAACCUUAAUUGCAUUAUAAAUUGUGUUGCUUUGAGUUAUUUCUUUACUACAUGCAUAGUUUUGUUAUGUACAAGUCCGCUAGAAAAAUAAUUUAACCCUUAUAAAUAGUUGAUAUAUUUUGCUUUUUUAGUACUCAAUUGUUUGGCUGAUUUCCUUCUCUAUUCCUUUUUGUAGACCUGACAAUAGGAUUCUGGUAUAUGUGAGACUUGCUUUUCAAUUUUAUGUCCAAAAAAUUUAUGUGCUACAUUUUGCUUAGAAAUUUCCCUAUAAAUUAUUAAUUGCUAAGCUUACAUGAUUUAUUUAUAUUUGCACGGAUAUGAUUGUUGUCACGUAUCCAUUCUUGUAUUUGAUGUAUACCUCAAUGAGUCUACUAAAUAGAAACCUUUUUUCCAUUAACAGUCACUUGGAGCAAUUAAUCAUGUAAGUUAAAAAGCUAUAAUGCCUUGACAGCUCUGGGACAGAGUGAAUUGGUCUUUAUCAAAUAUACUUUCCCUCCCUAAUUUAUAUAUCCAUUGAAGACUGCCAGAAGUGAAGCAAGUUUGAGGAAAGAAUAUGAUAAAGCCAGCGAGCAAUAAUAUCCCGAUUGUAUUAGUUUUGAACUGCUUGGAUAGGGCCUACUCUGUGAUAAAUAUUAAGUACAAAGAUCAAACUAAGCUUGUAUUAUUUCUAAUAUUUUCCUUCACCGACUUCUUUUGCUUUUCUAAUUCUUAGUAGCUUAUUUUAAGUAUACAGUUGCUCAAAUUUGUCACAAUCUUGUCUCAGGAAUUCUACAUUAAACAUACUAUUUAUUUAUUUAUUUUUCCUGCUUUCAUUCUACAUUUAACCUUCGUUAGUCUUUUAAUUGCUCACCUAUAGUUUCUUUGUUGAAUCUAUUGAUGAGAUUUUAUAAAAGUUUUUGGGAGAAUAAUACAUCAUGGUGGGGUUUAGUCUAUGCAAUCUAUUUGUCUUCUUUUUCUUUGUAAUCUGCCGCUGUAUGCUGCUUUUUCUCUUCUCUCUCUCUCUUUUUUCUUUUUUGUCUCUAUUAGCCAAAAAACUUAUAUGGUUCCUACGAUGACAUGAAUAUUGGAAGAACAUCAUGCUAAUCUAGAUUAUUAUUGAUUUAAAUUUUAGUCAACAUUUUUGUUUGUGUUGUUUAGUAACGGCUCUAGCUAAUUUAAAUUAACCAUUGAUCUCAAUGGUGAUGGUUUUAUGUGACCUUCACAUCAUAAAGUUUUUUAGAACAUGCAUACUGUGCGCCAUUAAAUUAAUUGUCCUAUACUUUUGGUAUAGACAGAAAAGAGAAAAUAAUGCUUGAUUAUUUCAUGAAAAAUCAUUCGAUAUUGAGAAGUCAAUUAUAUCAAGGAACAAAUGUUACAAUAAGAAAAUACUUAAAAGAUAAAAUUGUUCAAAGAG